GAUGAACGCUGGCGGCGUGCCUAAUACAUGCGAGUCGAGCGAACAGACGAGGAGCUUGCUCCUCUGACGUUAGCGGCGGACGGGUGAGUAACACGUGGAUAACCUACCUAUAAGACUGGGAUAACUUCGGGAAACCGGAGCUAAUACCGGAUAAUAUAUUGAACCGCAUGGUUCAAUAGUGAAAGACGGUUUUGCUGUCACUUAUAGAUGGAUCCGCGCCGCAUUAGCUAGUUGGUAAGGUAACGGCUUACCAAGGAAACGAUGCGUAGCCGACCUGAGAGGGUGAUCGGCCAAACUGGAACUGGGACACGGUCCAGACUCCUACGGGAGGCAGCAGUAGGGAAUCUUCCGCAAUGGGCGAAAGCCUGACGGAGCAACGCCGCGUGAGUGAUGAAGGUCUUCGGAUCGUAAAACUCUGUUAUUAGGGAAGAACAAAUGUGUAAGUAACUAUGCACGUCUUGACGGUACCUAAUCAGAAAGCCACGGCUAACUACGUG
rnacentral:rRNA from 1 species